rnacentral:rRNA from 1 species
UCCUACGGGGGGCAGCAGUGGGGAAUAUUGCACAAUGGGGGAAACCCUGAUGCAGCGACGCCGCGUGAGUGAGGAAGUAUUUCGGUAUGUAAAGCUCUAUCAGCAGGGAAGAAAAUGACGGUACCUGACUAAGAAGCCCCGGCUAACUACGUGCCAGCAGCCGCGGUAAUACGUAGGGGGCAAGCGUUAUCCGGAUUUAUUGGGUUUAAAGGGUGCGCAGGCGGAGGUGCAAGUCAGCGGUCAAAUUGCGGGGCUCAACCCCGUACUGCCGUUGAAACUGCAUCCCUUGAGUGCGCGAGAAGUAU